AUGCUCUGCUGCUUUCCCAGGCCUCGAAGCCCCAGCCUCAGGACCCCGCGUGGAAAAGCCACUUGGGAACGAGGGAGAGGAUGGUUCGCUCGGCCCAGAUUCUUCAGCACCCGCGCCAGGAACCGCCCAACUGUCAUGGGCAGCACAGGGCAGGGCUCGGCAGCUCCGGCCCCCAGGCACCCAGAGACAAGAGGGAGCGCAGGACAGGUGUCCCUAGGCUCGGCCACCAGCCACUCGGAGCCACUGAGUCCGGGACAGGCCCAUUUAGGCCUGGCCACCACUACGGGAAAUCAGUCGACCAAGAGCCUGGCAGAGGUCUGCACAGAGAGCUCGGUGCAGGCAGGGCCACCCCGCACCCUGACGGAGCCCCUGGAGCCGGCCUUCCUGGACAGCGGCCCCAGCCCUGGCCCCUCCUUCCUGGACUCCUCAAGGGCCGACACGUCCACCCCACAGGCCCUGCUGGUGGGAAGGUCCACCUCUCCUGUCCGUGACUCUGCACUGGAGCUGCACUCCCAGGUGGAUUCCCAGGCUGAGCUUCUCCUGGAGCCCCCUGAGCCCCCUGAGGCAGAGCCCCCGGCAUCAGCUCCAGCCCUCACUGAAGUCCCAGCUGUAGAGCUGGUGCCAGCUCCACCUGCCGCUCCUUCCCCAGCUCAGGCUCUAGAGCCAGCGCCAGCUCCUGGAUCCUUGUGGUCGCCAGCUGCAGAGCUGGAACUCCUGGAGGCUCCAUCGCAGGGCUCACCUCUUGAGCUCUACCUGGAGGCAGCUCUUGACCCAAACCUCCCAUUCCCUUCUCUGCCAGAUUUACUUGUUAUUGUACUUAUUGCUUUCCUUAAUUCCCAGAGAUGUGGACACCGUAGAAUUAAUGUAAAUAAAGUUAAAGAGUUUAGUGCUGUUUAAAACGAUCAGCUUGGUGGCCUUUAUUGCCUUCUCAGUGUCAUGCAGCCUUCACCACUGUGCAGUCUAGACCAUUUUCCUCAAUUCUGUACCGAAAGUAUUUUCUUCUCUCUCCCCUCCUGCCAGAUCCUGGCCACCAUUCAUCUGAUGUCCCUGUCAUUUACCUCUUCUACAUUUUUCACAUCACUGAAGUCAUGUUUCUCUCUGGCCAGAGGAUGUUGGAAAUCACCGCUUAAUCUUGCUUUUUCUUAGAAGGGACCAACCGUAAGAGAUCACGUCAAUUUCUUGUUCAUUGGAGAUGUGAGGUGACUGGACGAUGGUGGCUUUAGAAGGAGGGAUGGUAUCCACGUCGCCCAAAUCAGAGGCAGGUGAGGAUGCUGACAGGGCAGAGAUGCAGAGCACAGCAUGGGACCCCUGCACUCCACUCCCCAGUAUG
rnacentral:lncRNA from 1 species